CCAAGUUUUUCCAGUUUCGCGAAUAAGUAUGGCCAUAGAAUGCAGUCGAAUGCCUUUUCGGCGUCAAGGGAAAGCAGCAGUGUGGGGGUCUCUUUGUGUGUGGCUGCCCAUAUCAGAUCGUAGGUGCGUCUAGUGUUGUCACUGGCUUGUCUGUGUGGAAUGAAACCCACUUGUCAGGGUGGAUCAACUUCGGGAGAUAUGGUUGUAGUCUAUUAGCGAGGAGUUUAGUGAGUAAUUUAAUGUCAACAUUGAGGAGCGAGAUGGGGCGGUAAUGUCCGGGGUCCUGAUGGGUUUUGUUUGGUUUCAGUAUCAGGCUUAUGUUCGCCUGCAGCAUGUCCGGAGGUAUCGCCUCCCCUUUGACAAUGGAGGUAAACAGGUCUUUAAGGUGCGGGAGUAGGGCCGUAGAGAAUGUCUUAUAAUAUAAUCCCGAGAACCCGUCCGGGCCUGGGCAUUUGUUGGGUCAGAGGGUUUUAA